AGCAGGAUUGGGAAGUGAAGGCCUCAGACCCCAGGGUCUGUGUGCUUGACCAUGAUGCUGUUCUUCUUCCCUGAGACCCAAGGAUGCUGACUGCUAUGCUGUGAGGAACCCAAGCAGCCCAGUGGGGAGAUCCAAGUGUUGUAAAGAACCGAGGCACCUCACCAAUAGCCAGCAUGGGCUUGCUGGUCACAAGAGUGUGCCAUCUUGGAAGCAGAUCCUCCAGCCCCAGUCCAGUCUUCAGAUGACUGCAGUCCCAACUGUCAUUCGAGUUCAUGGGAGAUAAUAAGCCAGAACUACCCAGCCACAAGCCACUCUUGCGUUCC
rnacentral:lncRNA from 1 species